rnacentral:tRNA from 1 species
GGUUAUGGCUCAGUGGUAGAGCAUUUGCUUCCCAUGUGCAAGGCCCUGGGUUUGAUCCUCAGCACCA